rnacentral:sRNA from 1 species
AUUGUGCUUAAUGAGUCAGCGACUAUAAUGUCGACCUGAGCGGUUAACUGAGCAAC